rnacentral:rRNA from 1 species
AUGAAUAAUUGUGCUCCGAGUGAAGCAAAGAAAAAAAAAGGAAGAGAAAAAUUGUGCCCAACAACCAACGAGCAACCCUCGCCGCCGCGCCACCACUUCCCCCCUGGAGAGAAGCACGCCGCCGCGGAUCUCGCGCCGCAUGAGGCCGACGCGCCCUCGCUACUCCUCCUCCUUGUGGUUGCGGCGUUAGGGCUCGGCAUGGACGGCGACGGCGGGUCGGCGUCGGGGGGCGGGAGGUGGUACACGGGCAUGUCGUCGGACAACAUCAAGGGGCUGGUGCUGGCCAUCUCCUCCAGCCUCUUCAUCGGCGCCAGCUUCAUCAUCAAGAAGAAGGGCCUCAAGAAGGCCGCCGCCUCCUCCGGCGGCGUCAGGGCCGGGGUUGGUGGUUACUCUUAUUUAUAUGAGCCUCUUUGGUGGGUUGGCAUGAUAACAAUGGUUGUUGGGGAAGUUGCGAAUUUCGUAGCUUAUGCCUUUGCGCCAGCCAUUUUGGUUACUCCUCUUGGUGCUCUCAGCAUAAUCAUCAGUGCUGUACUUGCACAUGUAAUGCUGCGCGAGAAGCUGCACAUAUUCGGCAUUCUCGGAUGCGUCCUAUGUGUCGUGGGAUCCACCACCAUUGUCCUCCAUGCCCCGCAAGAGCGUCAAAUUGAGUCGGUGACUGAAGUUUGGGGUCUGGCUACUGAACCAGCCUUCAUGUGUUAUGUGGGUGUAGUACUUGCUAUUGUCGCUCUUCUUGUGUUCAAGUUUGUUCCGCUUUAUGGACAAACCCAUGUCAUGGUGUACAUUGGUGUUUGCUCUCUCGUAGGUUCCAUCUCGGUCAUGAGUGUGAAAGCUCUUGGGAUAGCUUUGAAGCUCACCUUUUCCGGAACGAACCAACUCAUAUAUCCACAGACAUGGGCAUUUAGUAUGGUUGUCAUCUCAUGCAUCAUUACUCAAAUGAAUUACUUGAACAAGGCCCUUGACACGUUUAAUACGGCAGUUGUCUCCCCCAUAUAUUAUACGAUGUUCACAUCUUUAACCAUCUUGGCUAGUGUGAUUAUGUUCAAGGACUGGGACCGGCAAAAUCCGACACAAAUCGUGACAGAGAUGUGUGGCGUCGUCACCAUCUUCUCGGGAACAUUUCUACUUCACAAAACAAAGGACAUGGCUGAUGGGCUUUCGAACUCUUCUUCAUUCCGUCUUCCAACCAUUUCAUCGGCGCGGUCCUUCAAGCAAACAGAUGAGUAUAGCGAAGGGGUUCCUCUCAGAUCGUCGGACUCGUUCCGGUCACUGCAUUGA